UGGGGAAUAUUGCACAAUGGGCGAAAGCCUGAUGCAGCAACGCCGCGUGAGUGAUGAAGGCCUUCGGGUUGUAAAGCUCUGUCUUUUGGGACGAUAAUGACGGUACCAAAGGAGGAAGCCACGGCUAACUACGUGCCAGCAGCCGCGGUAAUACGUAGGUGGCAAGCGUUGUCCGGAUUUACUGGGCGUAAAGGAUGCGUAGGCGGAUUUUUAAGUGAGAUGUGAAAUACCCGGGCUUAACUUGGGUGCUGCAUUUCAAACUGGGAAUCUAGAGUGCGGGAGAGGAGAAUGGAAUUCCUAGUGUAGCGGUGAAAUGCGUAGAGAUUAGGAAGAACACCAGUGGCGAAGGCGAUUCUCUGGACCGUAACUGAUGCUGAGGCAUGAAAGCGUGGGUAGCAAACAGGAUUAGAUACCCUGGUAGUCCACGCCGUAAACGAUGAGUACUAGGUGUAGGAGGUAUCGACCCCUUCUGUGCCGCAGUUAACACAAUAAGUACUCCGCCUGGGAAGUACGAUCGCAAGAUU
rnacentral:rRNA from 1 species